UGAGGAACAUGACUUUCGGCGGGGGAUAGCCGGCCCAACGGCCGGGUAAUACCGCGUACGACCUUUUGGGGACAUCCCCGAUUGGUGAAAGCAGCAAUGCGCCGAAAGAGUGCCUCGCGGCCUAUCAGCUAGUUGGUGGGGUAAUGGCUCACCAAGGCGACGACGGGUAGCUGGU
rnacentral:rRNA from 1 species